rnacentral:tRNA from 1 species
GCCGAUAUAGCUAUAAUUGGAAGAGCAGUGCAUUCGUAAUGCAAAGGGUAUAGGUUCGAAUCCUAUUAUCGGCA